UACAACAUUUUAUAAAAGUUAUAAAAAAAAUUAAAUAAAUAACAUUUAUAAAAAGUUGCCUAAAAUUAUUCACAGUUACAAAUUUUAGAGGGAAACUUUUUAUAUUCCCACCAAUUAUUUUUCAAUCAAAUAACUUAAAAAAAAAAAGAAAAGAAAAGACACAAUGCUCUUCAUCAUCAGUUCAUCACUUCAUUCCUUCAUCACUUAGCUUCCUCAUUUCAUCAGAGAUACUGUAACCCUAACAUCAUAACGCAGACGGCCACACCACCGAUCGCGGCUCUCCUCCUCAUCGACCACAACUCUCAAUCGCUUUCACUCCAAAUGGCGACGGCGCGGUUCUCCCUUUCACGGUCGUCGGAGCGUUGCUCUCAUCCACGGGCUCCUGCGCGGUGCUCUCCUCCACGAGUGUCGGCGCGGUGCUCUCCUCCACUGGCAUCGGCGCGGUGCUGUCCUCCACGCACGCUGCUCCACGGCUCCCCCUCUUCCUAUCUCGGCUCCAAGUACAGGCCUGUCUCGCCUUCUCCUCUUCGCAAGGCCUGUCUCGCCUUCUCCUCUUCGAGAAACCCCUCUCUUUCUCCUGUUUCCACUUCUUCCCCUGUCUCGCCUUCUCCUCUUCGCAAGGGCUGUAACCCCCCCUCCUCCUCCUCCUCUGCUUAUUGCUUCUAUUCUUAAAGCACUGUUAAGGUACGGAAAGAAGCAGUUUGCGGUUUGAUGAGACCAGGCGUGAUACUUAGAAUUGUCCAGUGCCUUCAUGCAAUGAACCACCAGUAUUGACUACUUGGAUUUUCUGAAUUUUUGUGCAUCUUAAUUCUGAUUUUUGAAGCUGUUUCCUGGGGAAAAAUACGACGAUCUGCCCUAACUGUUAAGGUACAUCCUCCAUAUGAUUUCACAAUUUCUUUUCUUUUUGUCAGAAUUCUCUAAAUUUCUGCGGUGAAUGCUAUGGCUAUAGUUUCAUACUUUUGGGUUAUUGUAGCCAGCUAAUAUCAUCAAUCAUCAUCCUGAAUUAGAAUAUAUCACAAUUCAGACCUUAUUUAUUCUUCUGAAUCAUAUUGCUGUGCCCGUACUUGUGUUCUUGAUUGUAUAUAUGGUUUUGAAUACAAGUAUGUGCAAU